UACGAAGGGGGGCUAGCGUUACUCGGAUUGACUGGGCGUAAAGGGCGCGUAGGCGGCUUGUACAGUCAGGCGUGAAAUUCCUGGGCUCAACCUGGGGGCUGCGUUUGAUACGUGCGGGCUUGAGUCCGGAAGAGGGUCGUGGAAUUCCCAGUGUAGAGGUGAAAUUCGUAGAUAUUGGGAAGAACACCGGUGGCGAAGGCGGCGACCUGGUCCGAUACUGACGCUGAGGCACGAAAGCGUGGGGAGCAAACAGG
rnacentral:rRNA from 1 species